AAUACGAAGGGACCUAGCGUAGUUCGGAAUUACUGGGCUUAAAGAGUUCGUAGGUGGUUAAAAAAGUUGGUGGUGAAAUCCCAGAGCUUAACUCUGGAACUGCCAUCAAAACUUUUUAGCUAGAGUAUGAUAGAGGAAAGCAGAAUUUCUAGUGUAGAGGUGAAAUUCGUAGAUAUUAGAAAGAAUACCAAUUGCGAAGGCAGCUUUCUGGAUCAUUACUGACACUGAGGAACGAAAGCAUGGGUAGCGAAGAGGAUUAGAUACCCUCGUAGUCCAUGCCGUAAACGAUGUGUGUUAGAUGUUGGAAAUUUAUUUUCAGUAUCGCAGCGAAAGCGUUAAACACACCGCCUGGGGAGUACGACCGCAAGGUUAAAACUCAAAUGAAUUGACGGGGACCCGCACAAGUAGUGGAGCAUGUGGUUUAAUUCGAAGAUACGCGCAGAACCUUACCAACACUUGACAUGUUUGUCGCGACUUUAAGAGAUUAAAGUCUUCGGUUCGGCCGGACAAAACACAGGUGCUGCAUGGCUGUCGUCAGCUCGUGUCGUGAGAUGUUGGGUUAAGUCCCGCAACGAGCGCAACCCUCACUUUUAGUUGCCAUCAUUUAGUUGGGCACUCUGAAAGAACUGCCAGUGAUAAGCUGGAGGAAGGUGGGGAUGACGUCAAGUCCUCAUGGCCCUUACGUGUUGGGCUACACACGUGCUACAAUGGCAUUUACAAUAGGAAGCAAGAUGGCGACAUCAAGCAAAUCCUAAAAAAAUGCCUCAGUUCGGAUUGUACUCUGCAACUCGAGUACAUGAAGCUGGAAUUACUAGUAAUCGCGGAUCAGCAGCCGCGGUAAUACGUUCCCGGGUCUUGUACACACCGCCCGUCACACCAUGGGAGUUGGUUCUACCUUAAGGCAAAGUUUAAAACCUUUGACCACGGUAUAGUCAGC
rnacentral:rRNA from 1 species